AGUUCACCGAGACUUCCUGCCACCGCAGCAACAACGGGGGCUCUACUCAGACCCCAGGACUGGAGGAGAGGACCCUGUCGGGCUGUAGUAGCUCGGAGCCGAUGGCCGACCCGCCGCCGCUUGGAUAUUCAUUGAAUCAUUAAAGGUGUGUGUUAUCCUCGAGUACCUGCAUCCCAGUUGACAAGAUGUAGCUCACACCAUCACUACAUAGAAUCCUCAUCCAUCGAUGUGAGAAACUGUGGAAAACCAAUGCUCUGAGGGUUGGGAAUAGGAAUGAGAAGAAAACACGCAAUGGGAGGCACAGUUAAGGUGUGGACUUUGGCUCUGAAGGACAGUGACCUCAAUGGGAAAGAAGACAAUGAUGAAUGAGGGGAAGGAGGAGCUCAAGCUGCCCUGGUGCUGGAGGACAAGCUCUCUCUGACUUCAGGAAAGAUGUUGAAGGUAGACGGCAUCUUCCAACUUCCGGAGCUUCCAGGGACAUUAAAUUUAUUUAUGUUUAAAUAAAUAUUUACCUAACCUUU
rnacentral:lncRNA from 1 species